rnacentral:rRNA from 1 species
GACAGAGGUGCCGAGCGUUUAGGCGGAAUCACUGGGCUUAAAGCGUGUGUAGGCGGACCGUUAAGUACCUUGUGAAAUCCCCCCGGCUCAACCGGGGGAACGGCUGGGUAUACUGGCGGUCUUGAGCCAUCCAGGGGCAGUCGGAACAGACGGUGGAGCGGUGAAAUGCGUAGAUAUCGUCUGGAACGCCGAAGGUGAAAACAGACUGCUGGGGAUGCGCUGACGCUGAGACACGAAAGCCAGGGGGAGCGAACGGG